AUGCACGCUGGCGGCGUGCCUAAUCCCUGCAAGUCGCGCGCACGGACGAGAAGCUUGCUUCUCUGAUGUUAGCGGCGGACGGGUGAGUAACACGUGGAUAACCUACCUAUAAGACUGGGAUAACUUCGGGAAACCGGAGCUAAUACCGGAUAAUAUUUUGAACCGCAUGGUUCAAAAGUGAAAGACGGUCUUGCUGUCACUUAUAGAUGGAUCCGCGCUGCAUUAGCUAGUUGGUAAGGUAACGGCUUACCAAGGCAACGAUGCAUAGCCGACCUGAGAGGGUGAUCGGCCACACUGGAACUGAGACACGGUCCAGACUCCUACGGGAGGCAGCAGUAGGGAAUCUUCCGCAAUGGGCGAAAGCCUGACGGAGCAACGCCGCGUGAGUGAUGAAGGUCUUCGGAUCGUAAAACUCUGUUAUUAGGGAAGAACAUAUGUGUAAGCAACUGUGCACAUCUUGACGGUACCUAAUCAGAAAGCCACGGCUAACUACGUG
rnacentral:rRNA from 1 species